rnacentral:misc_RNA from 1 species
ACGGCCGCUCUUACAUCCCUCUUCAUUCUUGCUCCAAGAGCGAUAUGCCUUGGACCAAUUCGGUUGCCUGUGUUGCAUACCUACGUUGAUGGAAUCCGCUCGUCCAAUCGCCCCUUAUUCACCUUGCGCUGCUUACGCGGUGCGGGGUGAACCAUGCAAUGUCCGUUGUUGUCCGUUCUUGCCCUGCGUUUGCGCGACGCAUGAAAUGGCCAAUGUCGUGACACGCGAAUUCUCGGAUACGGAACCCUAAGAGGGCAACGGGUCUUUGGCCUUUAUUUGCCCAAACUAAGUUCUUACAAACGACUGUCUCGCCCGUUUUGACCUGAGGAUGCUUUCGGUCCGACUGGCUCAUGC